UAUUGCACAAUGGGCGCAAGCCUGAUGCAGCCAUGCCGCGCGUGUGAAGAAGGCCUUCGGGUUGUAAAGCACUUUCAGCGGGGAGGCAAGCGAUAAGGUGAAUAACCUUUUCGACUGACGUUACCCGCAGAAGAUGCACCGGCUAACUCCGUGCCAGCAGCCGCGGUAAUACGGAGGGUGCAAGCGUUAAUCGGAAUUACUGGGCGUAAAGCGCACGCAGGCGGUCUGUCAAGUCGGAUGUGAAAUCCCCGGGCUCAACCUGGGAACUGCAUUCGAAACUGGCAGGCUAGAGUCUUGUAGAGGGGGGUAGAAUUCCGGGUGUAGCGGUGAAAUGCGUAGAGAUCUGGAGGAAUACCGGUGGCGAAGGCGGCCCCCUGGACAAAGACUGACGCUCAGGUGCGAAAGCGUGGGGAGCAAACAG
rnacentral:rRNA from 1 species